rnacentral:rRNA from 1 species
AGUGAACGCUGGCGGCAGGCCUAACACAUGCAAGUCGAGCGGCAGCGGGUUCCCGCGAGGGGAUGCCGGCGAGCGGCGGACGGGUGAGGAACACAUCGGAAUCUGCCUGGUUGUGGGGGAUAACGUAGGGAACUUACGCUAAUACCGCAUGAGACCCUGAGUCGACGGACUGGGGGUGAAAGUGAGGGACCUUCGGCCGUCACGCGACCAGAUGAGCCGAUGCGG